UACGUAGGGGGCAAGCGUUGUCCGGAUUUAUUGGGCGUAAAGAGCGUGUAGGCGGCCAGGUAGGUCCGUUGUGAAAACUCGAGGCUCAACCUCGAGACGCCGAUGGAAACCAUCUGGCUAGAGUCCGGAAGAGGAGAGUGGAAUUCCUGGUGUAGCGGUGAAAUGCGCAGAUAUCAGGAAGAACACCCGUGGCGAAGGCGGCUCACUGGCCCGGUACUGACGCUGAUGUGCGAAAGCGUGGGGAGCAAACAGG
rnacentral:rRNA from 1 species